rnacentral:lncRNA from 1 species
AGCCCUUGUUGGGGUUGGCCAACUGUUAGGAGCUGCAAUCUGAUAUCCAGCUUGAGCACUGAGGUAAAUAUUAACCGCUCUCAGGCAGUCAAUCAAUACCACGUUUUGGGUUCCUUUCUCUCUGUCACCAGCUGCCACAAGUCCAACGCUUGGCCUUUCUCCCCCGUCUCACCAAACAGACCUUGCCCUGUGACCUGAGGGUUCCCCCAGAGCCCAGCGCUGCACGGCACUGGGACAUCCACCUUCCAGCCCCUUGUGGAAGAGGUAAACAAUUUUCUCUCAGAAAGCAAACCAUCAUUACUCCAUUUUAUUUUCACAAGGCUGCAAUACCUUUGCUGCAAUCUCUCUUUGUCCUCCUCCACUUUCCAGAAAAGAAACUUUCCGUGUCCUCCCAGACUUCAUGCACGCCCCUCAGACCCUCAGACUGCCCACGACCCCCUCGCUCAGCUCAGCGCCCGCUGCCCGCGUUGCUGGUGGGCGGCUGCAGCAUUUCAACCUCCUCCAGCUGGAAAGUGUUGCCAGAGUGACUCACUUUGCUUUCUUAUUACUGCAGUUAGAAGCAAGCUGAAACUUGCUGUUUGCAAGAGGCUUUGGCCAGAGAAGCAGUCGUCAGGAAGAAGAAAACUGGUCUUAUCAGCCUCAGGGAUCACUGUUGUUCUUAGGAUUGCAGGACAGAAAGAAGAUACUUAAGAUAAUAUAUCAAGAUUUUGAGCAGAGUUGUGUUGUGUGGUAUGUUCUCAAAGAGAUCUGUGCUUUACCAGCUCUCUUUCACCAUCAGGUGAGAAGAAAACAGAAAAGUUUCUGCAAAACAACUGUUGAGAAAGGCUGAGAUGGUGGAAGUUGGAAGUGUGGCCAGGAUUAGGCAGGAGCAGAGCUCUGGGCUCCCCAGGAACUGCUGCCCCGGGGCUGCUUGGGUGAUCCUGGUAGGCUGUGUAAUCCCCAGAGCAGGUGUACAGAUCUGCAUGUGAGCCAGAGCUCAGUGACAGUGAGCCAAACUUUGCUGUAGUUUGGGGGUAGAGCUGAUCCCAAUGGAUUCAUUUCUUUCCAUUGGCAUGUUGCGUUGCUGUUUAAGCUCACUUAUAAAUCAAAGGUGUUGGACUGAAGCCUUUGUCUUAGGCAUACCUAUACUUAAAAUGACUGCUAGUGCUGUCUGCUGUGACCAGUGAAACCAGCAUCUCUGAUGUGUUACAUUUCACAGAAGAAAAGCCUUGACCAAGAACUCCAAAUAGAAUCAAUGACUGGUUGUCAUUUGACUGCUGGAAGCUACACAGCACAGAAACAACACUUUUAUUUUCUGCCCUUCAAU